rnacentral:rRNA from 1 species
AUACGUAGGUGGCAAGCGUUGUCCGGAAUUAUUGGGCGUAAAGCGCAUGUAGGCGGUAAUUUAAGUCUGUCGUGAAACUGCGGGGCUCAGCCCCGUAUGGCGAUGGAAACUGGGUUACUUGAGUGCAGGAGAGGAAAGGGGAACUCCCAGUGUGGCGGGGAAAUGCGUAGAAAUUGGGAAGAACAACGGUGGCGGAGGCGCCUUUCUGGACUGUGUCUGACGAUGAGAUGCGAAAGCCAGGGUAGCGAACGGGAUUAGAUACCCCGGUAGUCCUGGCCGUAAACGAUGGGUACUAGGUGUGGGAGGUAUCGACCCCUUCCGUGCCGGAGUUAACGCAAUAAGUACCCCGCCUGGGGAGUGCGGCCGCAAGGCUUAAACUUAAAGGAAUUGACGGGG